rnacentral:rRNA from 1 species
GGCGAGCGCUGGCGGCGUGCCUAAUACAUGCAAGUCGAACGCAUUUUCUUUCACCGUAGCUUGCUACACCGAAAGAAAAUGAGUGGCGAACGGGUGAGUAACACGUGGGUAACCUGCCCAUCAGCGGGGGAUAACACUUGGAAACAGGUGCUAAUACCGCAUAAUUCCAUUUACUGCAUGGUAGAUGGAUGAAAGGCGCUUUUGCGUCACUGAUGGAUGGACCCGCGGUGCAUUAGCUAGUUGGUGGGGUAACGGCCUACCAAGGCUGCGAUGCAUAGCCGACCUGAGAGGGUGAUCGGCCACACUGGGACUGAGACACGGCCCAGACUCCUACGGGAGGCAGCAGUAGGGAAUCUUCGGCAAUGGACGCAAGUCUGACCGAGCAACGCCGCGUGAGUGAAGAAGGUUUUCGGAUCGUAAAACUCUGUUGUUAGAAAAGAACAAGGAUGAGAGUGGAAAGUUCAUCCCUUGACGGUAUCUAACCAGAAAGCCACGGCUAACUACGUG